rfam:Oryza glumipatula chromosome 9, whole genome shotgun sequence.
AAAAAGACAAACCCUGGGUUUCUGUUGUCCAACAUUUGACUGUCCGUCUUAUAUGAAAUUUUUUUAUAAUUAGUAUUUUCAUUGUUGUUAGAUGAUAAAACAUGAUUAAUAUUUUAUUCGUGACCUGUCUUUUUAAUUUUUUUUUCAUAAUUUUUUCAAAUAAGACGGACAGUCGACACGGAAACCCAGGGUUUAUCUUUUU